GAUGAACGCUGGCGGCGUGCCUAAUACAUGCAAGUCGAGCGAACGGACGAGAAGCUUGCUUCUUUGAUGUUAGCGGCGGACGGGUGAGUAACACGUGGAUAACCUACCUAUAAGACUGGGAUAACUUCGGGAAACCGUAGCUAAUACCGGAUAAUAUUUUGAACCGCAUGGUUCAAAAGUGAAAGACGGUCUUGCUGUCUCUUAUAGAUGGAUCCGCGCUGCAUUAGCUAGUUGGUAAGGUAACGGCUUACCAAGGCAACGAUGCAUAGCCGACCUGAGAGGGUGAUCGGCCACACUGGAACUGAGACACGGUCCAGACUCCUACGGGAGGCAGCAGUAGGGAAUCUUCCGCAAUGGGCGAAAGCCUGACGGAGCAGCGCCGCGUGAGUGAUGAAGGUCUUCGGAUCGUAAAACUCUGUUAUUAGGGAAGAACAGAUGUGUAAGUAACUGUGCACAUCUUGACGGUACCUAAUCAGAAAGCCACGGCUAACUACGUG
rnacentral:rRNA from 1 species